UAGAGAUAGAAGUUACUUCGGUACAUCGGUGACAGGUGGUGCAUGGUUGUCGUCAGCUCGUGUCGUGAGAUGUUGGGUUAAGUCCCGCAACGAGCGCAACCCCUACGUUUAGUUGCUAACAGGUGAAGCUGAGCACUCUAGACGAACUGCCGUUGACAAAACGGAGGAAGGUGGGAUGACGUCAAAUCAUCAUGCCCUUAUGUUCUGGGCUACACACGUGCUACAAUGGCCGGUACAGACGGAGGCGAAGCCGCGAGGCGGAGCAAAUCCGAAAAAGCCGGUCUCAGUUCGGAUUGCAGGCUGCAAUUCGCCUGCAUGAAGUCGGAAUCGCUAGUAAUCGCAGGUCAGCAUACUGCGGUGAAUACGUUCCCGGGCCUU
rnacentral:rRNA from 1 species